GGGUCAGUAGGUUGGUCGUGCCACCGGUACGUACUGGUCUCACUGAUUCCUCCUUCCUGAAGAACCGUAAUGCCAUUAAUCUGGUGUUGCGGGGAAACAGGACUGUUACUUUGAAAAAAUUAGAGUGUUUAAAGCAAGCAAACGCUUGAAUACAUUAGCAUGGAAUAAUGAAAUAGGACGAUCGAUCCUAUUUUGUUGGUUUCUAGGAUUGACGUA
rnacentral:rRNA from 1 species